GUAAUUCACUGCAGCCAACAGCAUUAGAUUUGUGUAGGGAUUUAUUUUUAUUUUUUUUGGGGUUUGAACACAAUUUUUAAAAAGUGCUUAAAUUUAAUCCUAAAGAGAUGUUUCUAUACAUGCUGCAGUCCACGUGUUUUUUAUUUACUAUUUGUUUUUUUAUACUGUUUCAGUAUUUAGUAGACUUUGUUUUGUGAAUAGCAAUGGUUUUGUGUCUGAGUUGUCAUGUUUUGAGUUUUGCCAAAACUUACUGCUUAUUAGAGAUGCCGAGCAAAGGUGCUUCAAAGUAUUGAGCAAAGGCUGUGAAUACUUAUAAACAUGUGCUUUUUUUUGUUUUUUUAUUUUUCAUAAAUUUCAUACUCAUUAAAAGAUUUCAAACAAACUUCUUUCAUGUUGUCAUUAUGGUGUAUUGUUUGUAGAAUUUUGAGGAAAAUAAUGAAUUUAAUCCAUGUGGGAAUACGGCUGUAACAUAACAAUGGGGAAAAAGUGAAGCGCUGCGAAUACUUUCCGGAUGCACUGUAUAUAGUAUAUUGUAUGUAGUGAAACUGAUCUUCUGGGAAGUGCUGUGUGCAUAUGUGUCUGCCUCCUAACCUGCUCCAGCUCUAUUAUAAUCACCAGGAGCUUCUGGAUCCCCUGCUUCAGGGGUGGUGCUCACAUCCAGGCAUGCAACAAUGUCUCCAGUCACCUGAAACCCUUAUAAGUUUUCCUCGGGAAUCCAAUAAUCUAAUUGAUUUACCAGAGGAUUACUGUGCACUGAUCAACUAGGCUUUCAGCUUCACCUGUCCUAAGUCAGAUGGAGUUAAGUCUUGAGCUCAAACUCUGUGCUUGGUGUGUGGCACGAUGCUGUCUUCUCAGAGCAGCUGCUGCCAGACUGAGCUGGAGGGGUGAGGGAGAAUCAGGUUCUUUUCCUGUACCUCGAUGACUAUGGAGAACUGUCCAAGGGCUCAGAUGGAGGAAUGCGCUACAGAAAGAUUCAGAAGCUCUGGUGCCAGCACAGCAUCACCGAGGAGAUGGGUCAUGCACAGGAAGCUAAUCAGACUCUGGAGGACAUUGACUGGGAGAUCCUGGAUUUUCUUGGCUAAUGCCAAAUCUAAACUAACCAGGGAUCUGCACAUUUACCUAGAAAUGCCUACAGCCAAAAUCCCCAGUACUGACUGAACACAUCAAAUGCUGAGUUUACUUUUACAGUCUUGAAUUAACACCUCUGCUAACUGCGUCAUCACCUACAGUGCUGAAUUGACAGUUUACUUAACAGCCAUAAUGCUCACUGUUUACAAUACGAAUUAAAUGUGAAUUAAGCACACCUUUGGUUAAAAGAUGGGGGGGGAAAAGAAUUGGUUUAUCACUCGUUGGUUUUGUAAAUAAGGCUUGGUGAAAAUUAGGGUUAAGCUCUGUUUGUGCCACAGGCUAUAUACCCUUCCUCUAAUUUGUUUUCAAUGCAUGUGUACUGUUUUACAAUCUAAGGGCUUUGUUUGCAUCUAUAAUGAUUACACGGAUAAGACAUGUUUACCGUUUGCCACUUUCCUUUUUUUCUCUCUCCUUUUUGGGUAUACCAGUUAAAUAUGUCACGGUUUAGUCAACUGUAACUCUUUUGU